rnacentral:rRNA from 1 species
UACGUAGGGUGCGAGCGUUAAUCGGAAUUACUGGGCGUAAAGCGUGCGCAGGCGGUUCGUUAAGUUCGAUGUGAAAGCCCCGGGCUCAACCUGGGAACUGCAUUGGAAACUGGCGAGCUUGAGUAUGGCAGAGGGGGGUGGAAUUCCGCGUGUAGCAGUGAAAUGCGUAGAGAUGUGGAGGAACACCGAUGGCGAAGGCAGCCUCCUGGGCCAGCACUGACGCUCAUGCACGAAAGCGUGGGGAGCAAACAGG